UGCAUCAUCUUCCUGCUCCAACCCCAGAGAAGCGGGGAGGGAAGGAAGCGGGCUGCUGCCCAGACCUCCUCCUCCUCCUCCUCGGAGGGGCGGCGGAGGCAAACCGGGGCGGCAGAUGCGGCUCUAAUUGCUUUCCUGGACCCUUCCUGGAGGCUUUGGGGCUGAGGCGGAGGAGGAGGAGUGGCAGGCUGGCGAGUCCCGUCCACUCCACAUCCACACCACAUCGGCGGAGGGAGGGGAAAGUCGUCCAUACAUACACAUAAUAGAGCCAGGGCUGAUCCCUUCACCCGCGAACUCUGAGGAGGCUGGAAAACCCUUCACUGCCUGGGAGAGCAAUCCAGACAUAUCCAAUCAGAUGACACAAGCUGUGGACGCAUCCCAUCAAUGGGAGAAGUGGCAAGGAGGCAUUGAAAGAAGCUUCCUCACCACCAUGGAAAAAAGAAGGAGGAACAGAAGGUCAAGUUCAUGCAAGAUACUGCCAGUCAAAACGAGAACUCAGCUUGCUACACUUUACAAAUUAAAAGUGAAUACUUAGCAAAAUACAGAUGUGACCCUUUGGUUUAGAGGACUGCACUUGUUAAUAAGAGGGAGACAGCAGGAGAGUGGAGACCAGAUGGGAAGAAAGUAAAUCCAGAAGCAUAGAAUGAUCUCAGAUCAGGUGCCUUCGACAGGACUCAGACUGGCAGGAUAAGGGAUAUUCAACCUGCAUUUUAUUUUACAGGUAACAUUUCUUCCAAAGUGUGACCUUAUUCUUCCCUAUGUUAUCUUCAGAAAAAUCCUGUGAGGUAGGUUAAGCUAAGAGAGGGUGACUGUCCUGAUUUCACCAUAUGUAUCCUAAUAUGGUCAAAUCUGCCAAAUAUGGACCAUUUUGGUGCCCUUUUAAAAAUGUGAAAUAAAUGGAAAAUUGACUUCCAAUUGAUUUGCUAUUUUUUUAAGUCCUCCCAAGAUCUCAAAAAAGAGUCAUCCUCCAAUGUGAAAAAAUUACUUGCUCUAUCCUAAUUUUUUUACAAAUGGAAUUCUCAAAAUUCUCAUUGUUGCUCAUCAGUAUAAAUCUCCUCUGGUGUUUCUUCAUUCUGUGCUGGUAGUAGAUCUUGAAAGAGCUGUAAUGAAGAUGAGUGGUUGCUCAUCUUACUAGUUUUUUUUUUUAAAAAAAAUCAUUUUGUCUUGUUGAAUAAUCAAGCAAUCAAAUUUUAUGUGGGUGUGUGAAUCAAAGUGUGCACCCAGCUCAGAACAGACUGAGUCCAGAUUAGCAUGGUCUGAAACAGGUCCAGAUCCAGAUGUGAAUUGGUUCCAGAUUGAAACUGGGCACCCUCUAAUAAUAAUAAUUAUAAUAAUGUACUUUAUUUAUAUUCUGCUCUAUCUCCCUGAGGGGACUCAGAGCAGAUUACAGGUACAUAUAUGGCAAACAUUCAAUGAUGUUAUACAAUUGACAAAGACAUAAACAGAGGCAAGGCUUCCCUCUUUUCCUCUCCGGCAUCCACUGUGCUCAACUCGGCCAUGGGAAGGUGCUGUUGUUUCAUUUUUCACACCGACGAGCCUGUCAUCCAUGGACACCUUUUCUGGUUGGAUUUUGGCUGGCAUGUUUUUCAGGGUGCCUUUUACCUCCCCACCAAAGCGGUACCUAGUUAUCUACUUAUAUUCUUGUUUUUGAACUGCUAGGUGAGCGGAAGCUGGGCUGAUGGCAGGAGCUCAUCCUGACCCAGGCUUGAAUUACCAACCUUCCAAUCGGCAGGAUCUUCUAUAGCUGACGGUUUAACCCCCUGUGCUAGCCCGGCCCAGCAAUAAUUUGUUUGUCUUUAUGGAAUAUGACUGUCAGGACCCAGGCUGCAGAGCACCAAUAACCAUGCGCAGAGACCAGAAUCUAUCUAAUAUCUUUAUUAAGGAAAUAUAUAAAGUCAAUAAAAACAAGUGUAGAAUAUAGUUCAGAAGUAGACCUUUCAGGAAAGGUCAAAUAUAGUCCAGGAAAAUAAUGUCCAAUAUGUGAUAUUAAAGUCCAAAGUUAUAAUCCAAUAACCGAAACACACACUUUGCCAAGCAAAGUGUGGGGAGAAGACAAGGUCCUUAAGUCCAUAGAAACUUGGCAAUUAGGCUGGAAAGCAAACUUGAUACUUGGCUAGAACAAGACUUGAAACAAGGCAACAAGAGCAAAAACAAGGUCCGUGGUAAACGCGGGACAAGGCAAGGAUGGAAACUUGAUCCGGGAAACAGGGAACUGGAGUACAAAGUCUACACACGAUCUCACUCCUCCAGCUGACGAAUUGACUCCGCAAAGUUUCCCUUGCGGCAAACACCUAAAUAGGGUCUCGUUUCCCGCCAGAAGAACACUUUCCCUGGAGAACUAGAAGUGAAACUCAACUUAGUCCAGAUGCAAGACUCCUUAGAAUUUCCCAAGGGAAGCAGACUUAAUCAGCUAAUUGUUUGGCUGCGAUUCUGGCGCUCCGGCGAUUCGCCUCCCUAUUUCCUCUAUCUCUAUUAUAAUUGUCUCUUCGAGAAAAUGGGGGAGAAUUCUGCCCAAGGCUUGUUUGGCUGACGUCUUGAGGGCAAACAUCCUCCAGGUGCAAGGGCUCCGUUUCUGGCUGAAACGGUGUAAAUCCCAUGUUUUCCUCUUCGUCUGCCACAAUAGUACUAGGAACGGAACUACAUGGCCCAUGAGACAUCACAAUGACUUUAUAGAAGUGGUGGGACUGUGGCAGGCAAGUGGCUGCACAAGUAUGAAUCAGGGAAAGAGCUCUUGCAAGUGAAGCUUCAAUAGCUUUAUAGAAAUAUCUCUGCCAAAUAUCUCAAGGGUAAUGUUGUCAAUAUUGGUUUGUUAAAAGUUCUUUCAGUCCAGGAGCAGAGUUUACAUGCACAACUGGUUUACCUAAUGUGCAUUUCAUCUGCCCAUUAUACCAUAAAUAUGAAACUGAAACAGAAGGUGUUUGCUACCUUCAACUGCCUGUCCACAACAUCAAAUUGAAAAAAGGCCCACCAUAUUAAUAUGUAAGCAUUUCUCUCCACAGACCCCUUUGCCCUAUGAACAGUUAUAUGUCACAGGAAAAUCCCAAUCAUCUGUUCAUCUGUCAGAUAUAGUAAAAGCUUCACCUUCCCAAAGAAGAGAAUUUCUGAACUAAGCUAUACAUUGUAUUGCUAUUAUUCAAGUUCUUGGAAUCUGAACAAACUGAAAAGUGUAAUUUACAUGUCAUUAAUUUGCUACAUUAAGCUGUUGUACAACUCCUCAUUGUUUAGGUAACUAUUCUUUAACAGGAGAUAUUCGUUUUAAUUUAAUUCUUAUAGAUUUGUGUUAAUCUUGGCCUACUACUAUAAUGGGAAUUUCUUUUGCCUUUUUAUUUCAUGCAGUAAUUGUGCGUUAUAUUCUUCUCAUCAUUUCUUGACACUUUUCUCUGUACAUUUCGGUAUAUGCACAAUGCUUACAUCAAUAGUAGAUUGCUGAAUGCACUUUAUAUUAUAUGCAAUAUAUUAUGAUGAGUUCUGUUUCUGAAUCUGA